rnacentral:rRNA from 1 species
UACAGAGGGUGCAAGCGUUAAUCGGAAUUACUGGGCGUAAAGCGUGCGUAGACGGUUACAUAAGUCGGGUGUGAAAGCCCCGGGCUCAACCUAGGAAUUGCAUUCGAGACUGCGUAGCUAGGGUGCGGAAGAGGGAAGCGGAAUUUCCGGUGUAGCGGUGAAAUGCGUAGAUAUCGGAAGGAACACCAGUGGCGAAAGCGGCUUCCUGGUCCAGCACCGACGUUCAGGCACGAAAGCGUGGGGAGCAAACAGG